CUACGGGUCGCUGCAGUGAGGAAUUUUGCGCAAUGGGGGCAACCCUGACGCAGCAACGCCGCGUGAGUGAAGAAGGCCCUUGGGUCGUAAAACUCUGUCAAUGGGGAAGAAGUUAUUGUGCUUUAAUAGAGUAUAGUAUUGACGGUACCCAUGAAGGAAGCACCGGCUAACUCCGUGCCAGCAGCCGCGGUAAUACGGGGGGUGCAAGCGUUAUUCGGAAUUAUUGGGCGUAAAGGGCACGCAGGCGGUCUUGCAGGUCAGAUGUGAAAGCCCGGGGCUCAACCCUGGAAGUGCAUUUGAAACCAUAAGACUUGAGUACGGUAGAGGAAAGGGGAAUUCCUGGUGUAGAGGUGAAAUUCGUAGAUAUCAGGAGGAACACCGGUGGCGAAGGCGCCUUUCUGGACCGAAACUGACGCUGAGGUGCGAAGGCGUGGGUAGCGAACAGGAUUAGAUACCCUCGUAGUC
rnacentral:rRNA from 1 species